UUAAAAAUUAAAACAUAUAAAAAGAAAGUAAAAAAAGAAACUGAAGGAAAUUGUGAGAAAGUUAGGGUUCUGAUAACACUCUCUUCUCUUGCGGCGCCGCUAGCCCCCUCGGAUAUUACUUCUCCGUCUCAGAUCCAAACGGCUCUCCGAUGUUCAUCACGAAAUAAUUUCCUUCUGCCCAUCUUCCUGACGUCUCAUUGCUUCGUUACGGUGCACGCAUCCCUUCCUCUCUUAUCUUCUUCGUGUAACCGACAAAGAUGUCUCCUCCGCCGAUUUUCCAAUGUCGCAACCGUUCAUCAUCUCGACAUUCUGCCUUAUUCGUUCGUAUUGUAA